rnacentral:rRNA from 1 species
GUUGAGUGGCGGACGGGUGAGUAACACGUGGGUAACCUGCCUAAAAGAAGGGGAUAACACUUGGAAACAGGUGCUAAUACCGUAUAUCUCUAAGGAUCGCAUGAUCCUUAGAUGAAAGAUGGUUCUGCUAUCGCUUUUAGAUGGACCCGCGGCGUAUUAACUAGUUGGUGGGGUAACGGCCUACCAAGGUGAUGAUACGUAGCCGAACUGAGAGGUUGAUCGGCCACAUUGGGACUGAGACACGGCCCAAACUCCUACGGGAGGCAGCAGUAGGGAAUCUUCCACAAUGGACGCAAGUCUGAUGGAGCAACGCCGCGUGAGUGAAGAAGGUCUUCGGAUCGUAAAACUCUGUUGUUAGAGAAGAACACGAGUGAGAGUAACUGUUCAUUCGAUGACGGUAUCUAACCAGCAAGUCACGGCUAACUACGUGCCAGCAGCCGCGGUAAUACGU